GAGCCAGUAUGGGGUAGUGGUUUGCGUGUUGGACUACGACUCUGGAGAGCCAAGUUCGAAUCCUGGCUGGGCUA